rnacentral:rRNA from 1 species
GACGAACGCUGGCGGCGUGCUUAACACAUGCAAGUCGAACGAUGAAGCCUAGCUUGCUAGGUGGAUUAGUGGCGAACGGGUGAGUAAUACGUGAGUAACCUACCUUUAACUCUGGGAUAAGCCUGGGAAACUGGGUCUAAUACCGGAUACGACCAAUCUCCGCAUGGGGUGUUGGUGGAAAGCGUUAUGUAGUGGUUAUAGAUGGGCUCACGGCCUAUCAGCUUGUUGGUGAGGUAACGGCUCACCAAGGCGACGACGGGUAGCCGGCCUGAGAGGGUGACCGGCCACACUGGGACUGAGACACGGCCCAGACUCCUACGGGAGGCAGCAGUGGGGAAUAUUGCACAAUGGGCGCAAACCUGAUGCAGCGACGCCGCGUGAGGGAUGACGGCCUUCGGGUUGUAAACCUCUGUUAGCAGGGAAGAAGAGAAAUUGACGGUACCUGCAGAGAAAGCGCCGGCUAACUACGUG